rnacentral:lncRNA from 1 species
GGAAAAAAACAGGGAUCUGAGUAAAGCAAUUACUAUAGAAGAAAUUAAUCAGCAAAUACAAGGACUGAAAAAAGGAAAAUCACCUGGUGAUGACGGAUUCACAAAUGAAUUUUAUAAAGAAUUUAAAACACAAAUAGCUCCACUACUUAAGAAAGCAUACAAUUAUGCGCUAGAAACAGGUAAAUGGGCUCAAACAUGGCAAUCUUCAAUUGUAACAUUAAUUUUGAAAGAGGGAAAGGAUACUACAAAAUGCUCAUCGUAUCGGCCCAUAUCGCUGCUAAAUACUGACCAUAAAAUAAUAUCAGCAAUACUAGCAAAUAGAUUAAAGACCACAAUUACUGAUGUGAUUGAGGCAGAUCAAUGUGGAUUCAUCGCUGGAAGGUAUUUGGCAGACAAUAUUAGGAGAACAAUACAUAUAAUGGACCAUGCACAAAAUAAAAACAUUGAUGCAAUAUUAUUAACAUUGGAUGCUCAAAAGGCCUUUGAUUUAGUGAGCUGGCCCUUUUUGUUUGAGAUGCUUGACAGUUUUGGGGUAGAUAACAGAUUCUGCUCAUGGAUACAAGCAAUAUAUAGUAGUCCAACCUCAAGAAUUAAAACUAAUGGCACCUUGUCAAGAAAAAUUCGAAUACAGAGAGGGACUAGACAGGGAGACCCUCUCUCUCCCCUCAUCUUCGCUAUGUAUAUAGAAGUAUUAGCUGCUGCAGUGAGAGAGAAGAUUGAGAUAAAAGGAAUACAAAUUGGAAAAGAAACUCAUAAAUUGGCACUUUACGCUGAUGAUAUUAUUGUGUACUUGACAUCUCCAGAAGAAUCAAUAAAUGCCUUAAUGAAAACAAUUGCUGAAUUUGGUAAGGUCUCUGGGUAUACAUUGAAUAGGAGUAAAUGUGAAUCUUUGAUAAUAGGGAGACAACCCAGCCAGGCAUUGAAAGAUUGUUAUAACUUCAAAUGGGAGAAUAAGAAGGUAAAAUACCUAGGCAUUAAUAUUAGUAAAGACUUAAAUGAAUUGUAUGAGAACAACUAUUGUGCAAUGAUUACUAAGAUAAGGCAAGACUUGAAUAGAUGGGGAUUAAUGCCACAUAGUUUGUUUAACAGAGUAGAAAUUAUUAAAAUGAUGGUUCUUCCACAAUUCCUAUUCUUAUUUCAGACAUUGCCUAUUGUUGUACCAGAGAAAUACUUUAAAAAUUGCAACAGAAUUAUUUCAAAUUUUAUCUGGAACAACAAAAAGCAGAGAAUUAAACUGAAAAGUCUUUGUCAAGCAAAGGAGGAAGGCGGGUUGGGGCUCCCAAAUUUACAGAGUUAUUUCUUGGCUACACAACUCCUCACAGUAAUGAAAUGGAUAGAGAGGGAAACAGAAACUAAAUGGAUUAAUAUAGAAAAAGAAACGGCAAGAAUAUCCAUUGGGACACUGCCAUUUGAUGGAAGAACGCAAUGGAAAAAUUACACAGGGCAGAACUACUGCAUUGACAAUACAUUGGCCAACUGGAAAUGUGUUUCUAAAAUGUUAAAAAUAGACAAUGAAUGUGUGCUAGUGAGAGAAAUGGCAGAGGAUCCUGAUUUCAUUCCUAAUAGAACAGAUAAAAUCUUGGUAGGGUGGGCGAAAAAGGGAUUGACAAAUUAUUCACAAUUAAUUACAAAUCAUACAAUUAACUCCUAUGAUAUAAUAUCUCGGAAAUAUGAAUUAGAAUCAAAACAUUUCUUCAAAUACCUGCAGGUUAGAAGUUACAUAAGUAGAUUUUUAGCAGAGGAAACAUCAGAGCAUGAACUGAUAAGAUAUAUGACACAAAAUUGUAAUAAAAACAAAGGAAACCUGUCAAAAAUCUAUAAGAUCCUGCAGAAGCACAACAAUGUAGAGAGUAACAUAAAAGAGAAGUGGGAAAAAGAUCUAAAAAUUAAUAUAACAACAGGAGAGUGGAGAAGAACAUUAGGUGGAAACUUUACAAUAUCCCAAUCAAAGUAUUGGAGGGAGUUCUCAUGAAAAGUGAGUAUGAGAUUCUUCAUUACACCUGAGAAAGUUAAGAGGUAUUACCCCCGACUGGAUAAUAGAUGUUGGCGAGGAUGUGGAGAACAGGAGGCAAAUUAUAUGCAUAUGCUCUUUACAUGCCCAGUACUAAUACUGUACUGGGAAGGAGUCCAAGAAACCUUAAAGCAUAUAUUUGAGUUUAAAGAACCUCUGCAGGUACAGCAUUGUUUAGGUAUCCAUUUAGAGGGAAAGAUAAGAGUAAAGGAUAUCUAUUUUUUUAACAUAUUGCGAACAACUGCUAUGAAACAGGUGACCAAAGCAUGGAAACAAUCAGAUCAACCAAAAUUAACGGCUUGGGUAUUAACAGCAGAACAAUGUCUAGAGAUGGAAAGGCUAAUGUUAAUGAAUAGGGGAAAAAUGCAUAUUUGGAACAAGCUAUACCACAAAGAAAGGUUGACAAAAACAGUAGAAAUAUUUAAUCAAAUUAAGGAGAUGGAUUAAAAGGUCCCCACCCCAACCUUAAC